CUGCAGCCGCCGCGGUAAUACGGAGGGUGCAAGCGUUAUCCGGAUUCAUUGGGUUUAAAGGGUGCGCAGGCGGAUACUUAAGUCAGUGGUGAAAUCCCGGGGCUCAACCCCGGAACUGCCAUUGAUACUGAAUAUCUGGAAUACGGUUGAAGUGGGCGGAAUGUAGCAUGUAGCGGUGAAAUGCAUAGAGAUGCUACAGAACACCGAUCGCGAAGGCAGCUCACUAAGCCGAUAUUGACGCUCAGGCACGAAAGCGUGGGGAGCGAACAGGAUUAGAUACCCUGGUAGUCCACGCCGUAAACGACGAUAACUCGUUGUUGGCGACACACAGUCAGCGACUAAGCGAAAGCGAUAAGUUAUCCACCUGGGGAGUACGAUCGCAAGGUUGAAACUCAAAGGAAUUGACGG
rnacentral:rRNA from 1 species